AGAGUUUGGAUCCUGGCUCAGAACGAACGCUGGCGGCGUGCUUAACACAUGCAAGUCGCGUGCGCAGUCUGUAGCAAUACAGACCGGCGCACGGCGCACGGGUGCGUAACACGUGGGCAAUCUGCCCUCUGAUGGGGAAUAACCCCGCGAAAGCGGGGCUAAUACCGCAUAAAAUUCCGAGAACUUAUGUUUUUGGAUUCAAAGCAGUGAUGCGUCAGAGGAGGAGCCCGCGCCCGAUUAGCUAGUUGGUAAGGUAACGGCUCACCAAGGCAAUGAUCGGUAGCUGGUCUGAGAGGAUGAUCAGCCACACUGGAACUGAGACACGGUCCAGACUCCUACGGGAGGCAGCAGUGGGGAAUCUUGCACAAUGGGCGAAAGCCUGAUGCAGCGACGCCGCGUGGGGGAUGAAGCAUUUCGGUGUGUAAACCCCUUUCGACUGGGAAGAAUGCCUCGCAAGAGGACUGACGGUACCAGUAUAAGAAGCCCCGGCUAACUACGUGCCAGCAGCCGCGGUAAGACGUAGGGGGCCAGCGUUGUUCGGAAUUACUGGGCNNAAAGGGUUCGUAGGCGGUGCGGCAAGUUGGGAGUGAAAUCUCUGGGCUCAACCCAGAGGCUGCUUCCAAAACUGCUGUGCUUGAGUGUGAGAGAGGCUC
rnacentral:rRNA from 1 species